UACGUAGGGUGCGAGCGUUAAUCGGAAUUACUGGGCGUAAAGCGUGCGCAGGCGGUCUGUUAAGACCGAUGUGAAAUCCCCGGGCUUAACCUGGGAACUGCAUUGGUGACUGGCAGGCUUUGAGUGUGGCAGAGGGAGGUAGAAUUCCACGUGUAGCAGUGAAAUGCGUAGAGAUGUGGAGGAAUACCGAUGGCGAAGGCAGCCCCCUGGGUCGACACUGACGCUCAUGCACAAAAGCGUGGGGAGCAAACAGG
rnacentral:rRNA from 1 species